AGUUUCUAAGAUUGUCAGAAUCUUUAAUAAGCUGAUGUUUUCACUUGAUCUGAUUCUCCAGAUGCUGUCCCCAUCGGCAUCAUUGUUGGUGUUGUUGCUGCUGUCCUCCUGUUGGUUAUCAUUGCUGUUGCUGGGUAUAAGGUCUAUCAGAAAAAGAAAGGCUUCAAACCUGUCAAUGCCUCUGAUGAUGGCUCUAACAGCUCAGCUCAUACAGAUCCAAAAGCAUAAAGAUGUAAGUGUAUUAUUAUUAUUAUUCAUUAGUGCAGCUGUUUCAGUCAUGUGAAAUCAAUGAAAUGUAAUAUGUUUUUGGCAUUUUAGGAGACCAGAUGAGUGCGAGAGAUGAAGUAAAACAUGAUGCUUAUCCUGCUGUCCAUCGUGCUUACAACACACACACAC
rnacentral:lncRNA from 1 species